UACGUAGGGUGCGAGCGUUGUCCGGAAUUAUUGGGCGUAAAGGGCUCGUAGGCGGUUUGUCACGUCGGGAGUGAAAACUCAGGGCUUAACCCUGAGCCUGCUUCCGAUACGGGCAGACUAGAGGUAUGCAGGGGAGAUCGGAAUUCCUGGUGUAGCGGUGAAAUGCGCAGAUAUCAGGAGGAACACCGGUGGCGAAGGCGGUUCUCUGGGCAUUACCUGACGCUGAGGAGCGAAAGUGUGGGGAGCGAACAGG
rnacentral:rRNA from 1 species